rnacentral:tRNA from 1 species
GUGAGUGUAGUUUAAAAUUAAAAUGUCAGAUUGUGAUUCUAAAGACAAGAGUUAAAACCUCUUCACCCACC